UAUCAGCAAGGAGACGCUGGGGAGAUGAAAGCAGUCUCAAUCAACAAACUAUGUUGAUUGAUUAACUGCCGUGCAGGCCAAAAGGGAGGCGCCAGGCUGACAGAUGCACAUCCAACCACGCGGACACAGCGGAGGCCGCGGCUGACGUAAUCGCCACUCAGACACUCUGCAUGCAGAAGUUCAGGGACGGCGGCGGAGGCCGCGGGAGACGCCAUGCCAGGUGUAAUAUGGCGUUUACUGUGACAGCGUCUCAGAGAGACAGGAGAGGAUACAGGAAUGUACACAUCAGGAUAACAGAUGGGAUCCGGUCCUGGAGCGCUGAGCCAGCCUUAGGAGGCAUCUGAUGGGAGAAUGCUGGAUGGAUGCGAUUGAGCUGGCUGUGAAGGGUUGUGGCCCGCUCAUGUGCCACAUGAAGACAGAGUAAUCCCUGAUAUCAAUAACCAAUAAAAAAUAUUAUUAAGUUAUUUUUCGGCGCACUAUAAAAAAUAAAUAGUCCUUCUGAUGAAACCGUACCACUUAUAUACGGUGAAACGCGUUAAGGAGGCUACCUACUGCAUCUAUCCAUUUUAAACCACCUGGAUCCCCUAUAUAUUGGAGGUUGCCUUUUAUACAUCUUCAUACAGCGACCCAGAGCAGCGCCUGGUUCCCCUCCCCGAGGACAUCAAGGUACCGCCGUGCUACAUAUGCGCACCACCGGAUAACAUCACAUCAGCCGGCCUUGCAGCAGCGGCAACGGUGAGAGAUCAGCUGGCGGUGGGGAGGGAUACCUUGAGAGCGCUGGGUCUUCAGAUCUAAUAACACUAACUGAGCUGGUUGGCGGCUUCUUCAUUGGAUGUACGGCGGCUACGUGCACUUAAACAUUUAUGUUUUAUACCAUCAGCAGUCCAUUUGGAGUUACAAAAAUAGCACUAUACUGUGCUUAAGUAUCCUAUAUUUGGAGCUCGAGGACAGUCACUUGUGGACUUAUUCAUUGGUAGGCAUAUGGACUAAAUUCAAGCAGUGGUAGCAAUUGUGCAAGAUAUGUUUUAUUAAUUGUAUUGUUUUUAAAUAAAUUUAAUUAAAUAAUUUUUUAACAAGUACUAUGGCAUAGCGCUCUCUUAUGAUACUGUGUAUCUAUAUUUUUUUCUUCUCUUGUCAGAGUAAUCCCUGAGUCUUGCACGGAACCAGAGGCGUCACUGGUACAG